rnacentral:rRNA from 1 species
AAAGAAGACCCUGUUGAGCUUGACUCUAGUUUGACAUUGUGAAGAGACAUAGAGGGUGUAGAAUAAGUGGGAGCUCCGGCGCCAGUGAAAUACCACUACCUUUAUCGUCUCUUUACUUAUUCAAUGAAGCGGAACUGGGCUUAACCGCCCACCUUUUGGUGUUAAGGUCCCACGCGGGCUGAUCCGGGUUGAAGACAUUGUCAGGUGGGGAGUUUGGCUGGGGCGGCACAUCUG